rnacentral:rRNA from 1 species
CCUGGUUGAUCCUGCCAGUAGUCAUAUGCUUGUCUCAAAGAUUAAGCCAUGCAUUUGUAAGUAUGAACAAAUUCAGACUGUGAAAAUGCGAAUGGCUCAUUAAAUCAGUUAUAGUUUGUUUGAUGGUAUCUACUACUCGGAUAACCGUAGUAAUUCUAGAGCUAAUACGUGCAACAAACCCCGACUUCUGGAAGGGAUGAAUUUUUUAGAUAAAAGGUCGACGCGGGCUUUGCCCGUUGCUGCGAUGAUUCAUGAUAACUCAACUGAUUGCACGACCAUCGUGCCGGUGAUGCAUCAUUCAAAUUUUUGCCCUAUAAACUUUUGAUGGUAGGAUAGUGGCCUACCAUGGUGGUGACAGGUGAUGGAGAAUUAGGGUUCGAUUCUGGUGAGUGAGCCUGAGAAACGACUACCACAUCCAAGGAAGGUAGCAGGCGCGCAAAUUAUCCAAUCCUGACACGGGGAGGUAGUGACAAUAAAUAACAAUACCGGGCUUAAUGAGUCUGGUAAUUGGAAUGAGUACAAUCUAAAUCCCUUAACGAGGAUCCAUUGGAGGGCAAUUCUAGUGCCAGCAGCCACGGUAAUUCCAGCUUCAAUAGCGUAUAUUUAAGUUGUUGCAGUUAAAAAGCUCUUAUUUGGACUUUGGGAUAGGCCGACCAGUCCGCCUAUAGUGUGCAGCGGUCGUCUCGUCCCUUCUGUCGGCGAUGCACUCCUGGCUUUAACUGCCUGGGUCGUGCCUUCGGCGCUGUUACUUUGAAGAAAUUAGAGUGGUCAAAGCAAGUCUACGCUCUGUAUACAUUAGCAUGAGAUAAAAUUAUAGGAUUUCGGUCCUAUUACGUUGGCCUUCGAGAUCGGAGUAAUGAUUAAUAGGGAAAAUCGGAGGGAUUCGUAUUUCAUAGUUGAUGUUGGGCGUAUUUAUACCCCUAAGAACCAUAAUUUACCCGUAUUUUAGCUAAGUUUUGAGGACAAAAUAUAUAAUUCCUGUACUUUUAGUCCAUUUUCCUUUAAAUGAGCUGACCUACGUGAUUAGCAUGUUUUUCAGGUAUUAAUGAUGAAGAUUUCAGUACUUUAUGGACUUAUGAGCAGCAAAGGAAAACUUCACAUUAGAAGGAAGGCAACCUUUGGACUGAAAGUGGUGCAUAGGAACUUUUUCCCGGGCAAACCCAGUAUUUUUAAAUACUUAAGGAGGCAGUAGCAACUUAGUGGACAGGGACACUACAAAAACCUUAUUGCUGAACUUUUCAGCAACAUUCAUUAUCAAUUAGCAUUCGACUUUUUGCACAUUAUUCAGUUUACAGAUUCUGUAUGUUAGAAACAGAGAAACACGCUAGAGUGGGGCAACGACAAAAGAGGGAAAAACGUUAUCCCCUUCUUGAUGCCAAACCAUCUUCAUCGUGUUGAUUGUUCUAUUUUUGGUAUGAUGAUGAUGUCUACUUUAAUUUCUGUUGUAUCCAUGAAUAGCUAAACUUCUCUUUAGGGUUAUGGAAACCUUCUGAGAUACUAUCUAUUACUACGAGUUUGUGAAUUCUUGAUGUGUAUGCUACUUAUAUCAUUACUCUCUUCAUUCUAAUUGAAUUCUUAUGGUUGCAAACAUAGAGAAUACGCCAUUAUAGCAUUAACUUGUUCGAGAGAAAAGUUACAUGUUUGGAAAAGAGAGUGUGACAAGGAAAUAGGGCUUCCAACCCCUGUUUACACGUUAAUGCCUUAACCGGAUUAAC